rnacentral:rRNA from 1 species
CGCGUAGGCGGCUCGUGAAGUCGGGUGUGAAAGCCCGGGGCUCAACCCCGGAACGGCAUCCGAUACUGGCGGGCUUGAGACCGGGAGAGGAGGGUGGAAUACCCAGUGUAGAGGUGAAAUUCGUAGAUAUUGGGUGGAACACCGGUGGCGAAAGCGGCUCUCUGGCCCGGAUCUGACGCUGAGGCGCGAAAGCGUGGGGGAGAAAACA